AAAAUUAAGUGCCUGCCAUAGAGGCAGGGGAGACUUCCCGCUCAAGCUGUCAAGAAGAAAACCCAUCACAAAGAAAUCCAGUGAUCUCUCCGUUAAAAUGAUGAAAUCAGUUUCACAAGAAAAGAAGGCUCCCUCUGCUUUUAAGUAUCCUGAGAAUCUUAGAAGUCCACCAGAGCAGGAAGAUCCCUCCUGUGGCGACGGCAGAGACACGGAUCAUGGAAAGGCAUUUUCUCAUGCCAGCAGCUAUGACAGCAAACUUAGGGAGCACAGAUACUGUGUGUAAAAGAAGGGGCUGGACCUUAUCUAUCUUGUUACAGGAGUCUUUAUCAUACUGCUGGCACACAAUAUAGUUGGGUCCCAAGAUGACCAUUGAGUCCUGGACAGGAGGAAGGCGGCGCUGCAGUGGCUUCCAGGCCAACAGAGGUCUGUGCACCUUCCCCAGCUGCCCAUCAGACAGAAACUUACUUUAUUGCAAUAAAUAUUUACACACAUUUAAUAUUUAAUGUAAGCCAAUUCAUUUGAAUAUUUUGUACUGUGAUGCUUUAAUGCCUUGCCUAAACCAGUAGUUUAUCAUCUGGAAGAGGGUCCAGUACUGUCACCCCAAAAUGAUAUAUUCAAGCCACAAGCCCCAGAACCCGGGAUGGCAUCCCUAUCAGGAUAAAAGGUCUCUGCUGUGACUGCUGAGACGGAGGGCAUCAUGGAUUCAGAGUGGGAUCUGGUCACCACUGUCCCCAUGAACAGGAGCAACUCUGACAGGGACACAAAGACCAGGAUCCAGGAGAGACCCAAGAGCACUCAGUUAUUCUCACCGCCUUGGGCUGCCUGCAGACACCAGAGUGGAUAGGAGAGUCCAAGAGUGGACAAACCUCUGGCUCUGAGAGGGUCCCACAGGCCCACAGGGGUUUCAGCUCUCGGCCUCCUGAACCAUUGGAGAAUAAACCAGAGAAUCCAUUCUCUUGGUCGCUUCUUACAACAAUCUCAGGACACUCACCCAGAUGUCAUUUUGAAUAAGAUAUUUUGAAUAAGACUCCAAUGAUCUGCCAAUUUCAGUGACAGUUGUUCAUUUUAAAUAAAUUAUUGUCAUAAAGUAAUAUAGAUAACAUAUUGUGAAUAUAGGGCUGGAGCAAUAGCACAGUGGUAGGGCAUUCGCCUUUCACGCGGCCGACCCGUGUUCGAUUCCUCCGCCCCUGUCUGAGAGUCCGGCAAGCUACCAAGAGUUUUGCGUCCGCACGGCAGAGUCUGGCAAGCUACCUGUGCAUAUUGGAUAUGCCAAAAACAGUAACAGUAAGUCUCACAAUGAGAGACGUUACUGGUGCCUCCCUGAACAAAUCGAUGAGCAACCGGGUGACAGUGACAGUGAUUGUGAAUAUGUAUUUGCAGGAAAGUACAAAGGAUACCAUAUUACUAAGAAUUUGUUCAAGUGCCCAAACAAACCAGCUUUUACUAGGGCCAUGGGGCAGCAGUUCAGGCGACCCCUGCUGUUGCUCAGGGUGUACCUCUUUCUCCUUGCUCUGGGGUCUCUCUUCCUGCUCCUGGCAGGGCUCAGGCGACCAUCUGUAGUGCCGGGAUUGAAGGAAUAUGGGUUGGCCACAUGCAAGACGAGUCCCUCACCCCUGUGAGGUUCCUCAGACCCCCAAUCAAGCUUUUCAAACCAGACUUGUAGAACUUCAAUGCUUUGGACUGGUAAUGGUUUGAAUGUAGUUCAGCUUAGAUCAAAAACCUCUAAAGACUCAAGAAAUUCAGUGGAAAUGACUGUACAAAGGAAACACCCUAUCACAGCAGGAAAUGAGAAAUCUAGAAGACACACAAAUAGGUUCCUUUAGAUAAGAAUUCUCUCUUUACUUUUAUUCCACUCCUAUCCUUGUUCCAAACACUGGACCCAGGCUUCACAAUGUAUUGGACUGGGUUGUGUUGUGCUAUACUGCAUCACUGUAUAUAGUAUCAUUUGUAUUUUAUUGUAUUGUUUUGUAUUGUAUUUUUGUAUCAUCUAGUUUAUAUUUGUUGCCUUGUUUUGUACUGUACUAUUUUGUAUCAUUCUGUGUUGACAUUGUUUUGUAUUGCUUUAUUUUGUAUUGACAGUGCAUAGGGGCUACUGCUCCCUGCUCUGUGAUCCAGGCUUGACUCACAGGAGUGCGUGGGGGAGCGUGUGGUGCCAGGAAGAGAGGCCAGCUUCCCACAUGUGAAGCAAGUGCUCCAGCCCUUCAUGUUAUCUCUCCAGUCACGGGCCUCACACUUAAACACAACCAAGGCCCCGGGUGGGACAGCAGCACACAGGAGGUCCCAUAUUUGAACUUGGAAACACACACACUGCCACAGGCUGUCCACUACUACCUCACCCAAGUACCUUGGGUCAUCUUUUGAGUUUUGCCCUGCCUGGAUCCUUUUCACACAUUGUUGCAUAUAAAAAAGUAACAUUAAACUCAUUUUUAAUAAGAAAAUGAAGGAGUGGAAGAGACAGUCCAGCUGGUCUGGGUCUUCUUGCCUUGCACUCAGUGGACCGGACCUGGGUUUGAUUCUCGGCACCCCAAUUUGUCCCCUGAGCCUCACCAGGAGUGAUCCCUGAGCACAGGUCUGGAGAAAGCCAUGAGCACAGUUGUGUGUGGUGUGUGUGUACAUGCACACACACACACACAUACACACACACAUACACACUUCAAAAAGUGAAUCUGUGAGGGUAUGGUGCCGCCAGCAGUUCACCCUGUACCUGUGGGCCAGUGCAUUGGCAGCCUGUGGUGACUUCAGACUUCCAGAUACCCCAAAAUUGCUACUGUGCCUCUGGCCAGAUCCCGACAACUUGAGGCCAAGUUUACCAAGAAAUUAAACAGCCAAAAUUUAGGCAUGUGGAAGACACACCCACAAACCACCUCUGGCUCAGCUAUAUAAGCUCAUUUAUUGGCCUUAUUUUAGAGACCCAUAAAUCUUGAAAGAGAUCAAAAGACGCAGUUAGGGUCUAUAGCACAGAGGUAGGCGGGAACCCAUAACUGAGAUCUCUAGGCCCAACUGGAUCAGGACUGGGCCUCCUUCCCCCACGCCCCCAGUUUUCCAGUAGCUUGGCAGUCACACCCACAAGCUAUCCCCUGCACCAUGCAAUCUCAUCAACAGCCAAGACCCAGAGACUAUAAACUAAAAAUCCUGGAAAAGAGCACCACAGAAUGUCCUGACCCCACGCCAGGCUGUCUUCACCAGGGCACCUUGGAGGGGGGCAGGUUGAGUCCCUCCUUGCCACAAGCAGAACCCCAACAGCGGAAAAUAUCCAGAACCCAAGUGCCGCCAUACCCAAGGCCACUUUCCACAUGCUUUAUUACCCAAGAUGGGAUAAACCUCACCAGAGAGCAGACUGGCAGGAAAACAUAGGUAUGUGGGAUCCCGUGACUGAGAUCUCCAAGCCCGCUUGGAUCAAGACUGGGCCUCCUCACCCCACCCCUUGCCCCAUCUUCAGCUUUCUAGAAACUUGACAGUUGCUCCCACAA